UACGAGGGGGACUAGCGUUGUUCGGAAUCACUGGGCGUAAAGCGCACGUAGGCGGCUUUCUAAGUCAGGGGUGAAAUCCUGGAGCUCAACUCCAGAACUGCCUUUGAUACUGGAGAGCUUGAGUCCGGGAGAGGUGAGUGGAACUCCGAGUGUAGAGGUGAAAUUCGUAGAUAUUCGGAAGAACACCAGUGGCGAAGGCGGCUCACUGGCCCGGUACUGACGCUGAGGUGCGAAAGCGUGGGGAGCAAACAGG
rnacentral:rRNA from 1 species